GACGAACGCGGCGGCGUGCCUAAUACAUGCAAGUCGAGCGAAGUUUUUCUGGUGCUUGCACUAGAAAAACUUAGCGGCGAACGGGUGAGUAACACGUUAAGAACCUGCCUCAUAGACUGGGACAACUAUUGGAAACGAUAGCUAAUACCGGAUAACAGCAUUAACUGCAUGGUUGAUGUUUGAAAGUUGGUUAUGCUAACACUAUGAGAUGGCUUUGCGGUGCAUUAGCUAGUUGGUGGGGUAAAGGCCCACCAAGGCGACGAUGCAUAGCCGACCUGAGAGGGUGAUCGGCCACACUGGGACUGAGACACGGCCCAGACUCCUACGGGAGGCAGCAGUAGGGAAUCUUCCGCAAUGGGCGAAAGCCUGACGGAGCAACGCCGCGUGAGUGAAGAAGGAUUUCGGUUCGUAAAGCUCUGUUGUUAGGGAAGAAUGGAUAUGUAGUAACUAUACAUAUAAG
rnacentral:rRNA from 1 species